GUGGCUACUAAAAAAGACUGGACAUACCCCAUUUGCAAUGAGCUCUCUGCUCAGCUCCCUCGUGCGCCACAGAGAGAUGCCGGGAGCCGGGAUAUGACGUCAUAGUCCGGCUCCUGGCAUCACUCUGCGGCGCACGAGGAAGCUGAGCAGAGAGCUCACUAAUCAGUGCUCCCUCACCAGCGUCGCCCGCCCGACUGGAUUUUUAGUUAGCCGCCAGGCUAACAAGACAUUUGCCUGGGCAUUUGCGGGCCUUUUUUUUUUUUGCCGUUCCCUGGAAAAUACCGCCCAAGGCAAAUGCCUUGUUUGCCUCGCGGCUAAUACGUACCUGAUCAUGGAGUUAAUUCUCAUUCCUAGGCUGCCAUACGCUCUCAAAGGCAACGUAACCAAACUGGCAAUUUUCAAUGUAAAAAUAUUUGACCCAUACACACAUAUAUAAUUAUAUUUUUUUAUUAACAUUAACCUUUAUUUUUUAUUUUUUUAUUUUACACUAGCAGGGAGACUGCCUGUCAGCACAGGCAGUCCCCCUGCAAGCAGACACUAGGGGGUCUUAGGACUAGGGGUCCUAAUUCGCCAUGAGGAGACUGUCUGGGCUGCAGGCGGGAGCACCGCCGAUUGCCGCGGGGGGAACGACGGCGAUCGGGUAAGUACAUAUUACCGUUGUGACGGUUCAGGACCGUCAGUUGUCGGCAACGCUAAAAUGCCGAUGACGGUCCUGAACCGUCCUCGGUUGUUAAGGGGUUAAAGGAACACAAACAUGUAUUCCUCACCCUAUAGUGUUAAAACACCAACUAGCCCCCCAUGCUGUUAGGGCCACCCGAUGGAAAUGAAUAACAUCAUCAGAGUGGGCCCGGUAACAGCUCGACCGGGCCACUCUGAUGAUGUCAGACGUUGGGAGGAAGUGACUGCGCUGGUCACUUCUCCCAGCAACCACCAGGAGCCGCACGGGAGGAAGGAGAGAGAGUCAGAGUGAACCACUGGACCCCAGGCAUUUGUGUCUUAUUGUAUGUGUGUGUAUGUAUGUGUGUCUGUGUGUGUGUUUAUGUAUGUGUCUGUAUGUAUCUGUGUGUAUGUGUCUGUGUCCUUGUGUGUUUAUGUGUAUAUGUGUCUGUGUGUCUGUCUGUCUGUGUGUCCAUGUAUGUGUCUGUGUGUGUGUAUGUGUGCCUGUAUGUGUCUGUAUGUAUAUUUUAUCUGUCUGUGUAUGUGUCUGUAUCUGUGUGUGUGUCUGUGUGUGUCUAUGUAUGUGUCUGUAUGUAUCUGUGUGUCUGUGUGUGUCUGUGUGUGUGUGUCUGUCUGUAUGUAUGUAUGUAUGUGUGUCUGUCUGUGUAUGUGUCUGUAUGUAUCUGUGUGUAUGUGUGUGUGUCUGUGUGUGUGUCUAUCUUUGUGACUGUCUGUAUCUAUGUAUGUGUGUGUGUCUGUCUGUAUGUAUGUGUCUCUGUAUGUAUGUGUGUCUGUAAGUAUGUAUGUGCUUCUGUAUGGGGUUGCGGUGGCGGUGGUGGUGGCCAUGGAUCAGUUUUGCACCUGGGCCCCAUGGAUUGUGUGUACGCCACUGAUUGUUAGUGCUCUUAACAACACUGUAUCCACUUGGCACUGGAUGAAAGUAACAAUGCUGUUGUAUUCAUUGUUAUAUUUUAUAGCACUUUACUUUUAAUCACCUACCAACUUUACUAAGUGCUCUCACAGUACUGAUCCCCUGCUGCUCCCUGGUUGAGACCUGCUUUGUAAUAUUAAUGUUUUACUGAUUUUCCUUUUAACAUAUUGCUCUGUCCCAUCACCUUAUUCACACAUUCCUUCGUCGAACGAUCGGUGUAUGCAACCACUUCAGAUUUCCAAGUCUUUAUGAACAAAAUAGCAGAAAAGCAAAUGAAUGUUCAAAUGAAUGCAUGACUGCACAAGUUACUAUCUAUGUGUAGUUUAUAACACCUGGGUUAGCACAAUGUACAGAUGGGAUGUUAUUCCCUUUCAAUAGACACGCAAAGUCAUGUUGGUCACGACAAUUACACUUUUCUUUACAAGGUCAAUGUAAUCUCCGUAAUAAGAGUAUGGCUGUUAUCACCAUCCUAUGUGAUCAGUGGAAUUGCUGCUUAUUAUAAACUACUCAUCCCAUAAUCCUCUACUGAAGAGGGGUUUAUGGGAUAAAAGCAGACCAAAAUGAGAUGCUCCCGUUGGUGAUGGAUUUAUCUGUAUAAUGUCUUAAAAAGUAUAUAUUUCUUUUAACCCCUUAAGGACACAUGACAUGUGUGACAUGUCAUGAUUCCCUUUUAUUCCAGAAGUUUGGUCCUUAAGGGGUUAAAGGAUCGCUAAAAGUACCCAGGCCACUUCAUCUCAAUGGCAUUUUAACCUUUCAAUGUAAAACAUUGCCCUUUUGUAGAAACAACAAAGCUUGCAUUGAAGGGUUAACUAUACCUCUAGUGCAGGCCUGCACUACCUGUAUCCCCCAGAACUACAAUGCCCAUGAUUAUUUGAAUGAAAGAGAUAGCCAGGGAAUCAUGGGAGUUGUAGUUCGAAACAUCUGGUGUGCGGAGGUUAGCUGUCAAUAUUCUUGAACACGCACUCAUUUAUUCUCACACUUUCUCUGUUUCUUUCUUCUGUUUUUAUCACCU